AUAAGUGUGAUUGUGUCACUCCCAUAUUUAAACCUUUUCAGUGCUGUUUCCUUGACCUUGAAGUAAAUUCUGAAACACUCUGAGGUACAACUUAUCCAUCAUGUGAUCUUAUCUAAGUUCCUCUUGGAAGGGGAUCCCUUCAUUCUCUGCAUUCAGGAGUUGUUUGGGCCGUGAUCCGCACCGCUUUGACCCUUCGUGCAUAAAGAACAGCUAACAGAAUUCUUGCCUGAAGGAACAUUAGG
rnacentral:lncRNA from 1 species